AUUGAACGCUGGCGGCAGGCCUAACACAUGCAAGUCGAGCGAGCGGCGGACGGGUGAGUAAUGUCUGGGAAACUGCCUGAUGGAGGGGGAUAACUACUGGAAACGGUAGCUACUACCGCAUACCAUCAGAUGUGCCCAGAUGGGAUUAGCUAGUAGGGGGGGUAAUGGCUCACCUAGGCGAAGAUCCCGAGAUGGUCUGAGAGGAUGAACAGCCACACGGGAACGGGGACACGGGACAGACUCCUACGGGAGGCAGCAGGGGGGAAUAUGGCACAAGGGGCGAAAGCAUGAUGCAGCAAUGCCGCGUGGGUGAAGAAGGCCUUCGGGUUGUAAAGCACGUUCAGCGGGGAGGCGUUACCCGCAGAAGAAGCACCGGCUAACUCCGUGCCAGCAGCCGCGAUAAUAC
rnacentral:rRNA from 1 species